rnacentral:rRNA from 1 species
GAUGAACGCUAGCGGCAGGCCUAACACAUGCAAGUCGAGGGGUAACAUAGAAAAGCUUGCUUUUCUGAUGACGACCGGCGCACGGGUGCGUAACGCGUAUACAACCUACCUUUUAGCGGGGAAUAGCCCAGGGAAACUUGGAUUAAUGCCCCAUAGUAUAUAGACUUCUCCUGAAGUUUAUAUUAAACAUUUAUGACUAUUAGAUGGGUAUGCGUCCUAUUAGUUAGUUGGUAAGGUAACGGCUUACCAAGGCAGCGAUAGGUAGGGGUCCUGAGAGGGAGAUCCCCACACUGGUACUGAGACACGGACCAGACUCCUACGGGAGGCAGCAGUGAGGAAUGUUGGACAAUGGGCGAGAGCCUGAUCCAGCCAUGCCGCGUGCAGGAAGACCGCCCUAUGGGUUGUAAACUGCUUUUACAGAGGAAGAACCACCCCCACGUGUGGGGGUUUGACGGUACUCUGCGAAUAAGGAUCGGCUAACUCCGUG